CAAUAGCGUAUAUUUAAGUUGCUGCAGUUAAAAAGCUCGUAGUUGGAUUUCGGGUGGGAAUGGCCGGUCCGCCGUUUCGGUGUGCACUUGCUCCGCCCACCUUGCUGCCGGGGACGUGCUCUUGAGUUCACGCUCGGGACACGGAGUCGGCGAGGUUACUUUGAGUAAAUUAGAGUGUUCAAAGCAGGCCUACGCUCUGAAUACAUUAGCAUGGAAUAACACGAUAGGACUCUGGCCUAUCUUGUUGGUCUGUAGGACCGGAGUAAUGAUUAAGAGGGACAGUCGGGGGCAUUCGUAUUUCAUUGUCAGAGGUGAAAUUCUUGGAUUUAUGAAAGACGAACUACUGCGAAAGCAUUUGCCAAGGAUGUUUUCAUUAA
rnacentral:rRNA from 1 species